rnacentral:ncRNA from 1 species
UAACUGAAGAGUUUGAUCAUGGCUCAGAUUGAACGCUGGCGGCAGGCCUAACACAUGCAAGUCGAGCGGCAGCACGGGGAGCUUGCUCCCUGGUGGCGAGCGGCGGACGGGUGAGUAAUGCAUAGGAAUCUGCCCGGUAGUGGGGGAUAACCUGGGGAAACCCAGGCUAAUACCGCAUACGUCCUACGGGAGAAAGCAGGGGCUCUUCGGACCUUGCGCUAUCGGAUGAGCCUAUGUCGGAUUAGCUGGUUGGUGAGGUAAUGGCUCACCAA